GGCCCGAGCUGUGUCGCGUCCCCCCCCCCAACGCGCUGCCUCCCCAUCCCAUUCGCGUCCUCUGGCCGUCGCCCUCUCUGGUAACGCCCAUCACUGCAAAGACCCUUUUCCUUCAUCGGCGUUUGCUGCUCUUCCUGCCAGUGCGUGUUGCUUUCACUUACACUUGCCACAGCCAGCCUCGUGAGUGCCUAGCCUAUUGGAUAUCACUGUCACCUACACAGGACAGUCAUUACCUUUCUAUUAAUACUUUGUUUUUUAAUUUCACAUUAAUUUCCAUAUUGUAUAAACAACUGGAAAAAACUUGAGCCCCUGCCCCUGUAUAAUCAUGUGCACGUCUCUGUUCUAGCUCUAAGGUGAAUCUUCACUGCUCAUGUUCUCCUCAGAAGCAGUCACCUCACUCCCCUCAGGUUACUGUACACAUGCACCAACUGCCUGCUUCAGGUUUGGAUGGAGCUUCAUGGUUGUCUUUUGGAGAAAUGACCAGUCAAGUUGUGUUUGAAAUUUGAUUUUUUUCAGGGGCAAAAGGAGCCUCUGCAUUCUUGUCAAAUAUGUAAAUAGCAUGUUUUUGCAGGUGCUAAAAACCAGACUCUGAGUGUGUGUGUGUGCGUGUGUGUGUGUGUGUGUUGUGUGUGUGUGUGUGUGUGUGUGUGUGUGUGUGUGCGUUCAAGUCACAUGACAUAUUUAACUGGAUGUAGCUGCAAGACGGAGCCUCGUUGACUCUCCGUUUCAAUUUAUCUCAAAAGUGAGGACCUCAACCUAUAUACCAGUUUUUAAAUUGUGUUGAUAGGCCAAAUAAAACCAGAGUUAUGAUAAAUUAUGUCCGCGAUACUUGUUUUCUGCUUAUUUUGAUCACGUUCGGCGCUCGAUCGCGCUGUAUGAGACAGGAAAACAUAGCAUGCAGACAUUAGCGACAGGUCUUACAGGCGGAAAAGGCUUGCCAAAGGAAAAAAAAAACACACCACAACAUCUCUCCUAUUGGUGGAAAACUUCACCACAACAACCAAUCCAAAAUUAUAUGGUGACUGAUUGACAAGGGGCGGGAACUUACGUUCUUCCUGCAAUAUGAGAAGGGAGGGAGGGACUCUCAGCAGGGAUGCAGUCUGGGACACGUAGUUGCAAACCUAGCGACUUUGUUGUUAGAUUCAAUGACUUUUCAGACCCCCUAACGACUUUUUUUUAGAAAGAAAGUGACUUUUAUCGACUUCUUCUGGAGUUUAGAGACUCUGACAUGAAGCAGGCUUUCCUUACUGAGGAGUUAGCAACACUGCUAAGGGUGCAGAGCCACACAUGCGCUCCGAGCUCUGCAUGGGAGACUGAAGCUGACAGAGCUGCAGCAGUUAGCAGGUUUCACCCUCAGAGACCACCAGGGGUUCAUGUUGAGGCAUUUUCAGUUUUUUUUUUUUUUUUUUUUGCCAUAGACACUGUCAGCACAAUCUGCAGUUACACUAACAAAAAUGCUGCAAAAAACAAAGAAUUAUGGAAAAAUUACACAUGGACUAACAUAGAGGAGGAUCUACACAAGUUUUUUACAUCAUGUUUUACAUCAUGCAUCAUUUACAUCAUGUUUUUUUGUAGUGGCAUAAAUAAAAAGUGACAUUUGUGAGACUAUACAGUGUUUUGUAAAUAAUUUUACAAAGAACACCUGGGCCAUUGCCUGCAUUUUGAUGUCAAUAGAGGUAAAUUUCUAUGUUCUUUGUUAAAAAUUUGCAUAUGUUUUGAAGUUUACAAUUUUUAUUUGAAGUUUAAGUUUUAAAAACAGUUCAUCACACAUAUUUGUGGUUUUCACAGUAAAAACGUUACUUUUUUCCACUCGGAUUUUAUGUUUUGUGUGUGAAUUUGGGUCCAAUGUGUAAAUAUAGUAUGUCAAAAUGAUAAAAUAACUGUAAAUUGACACAGGUGAGGUUGUGCUGAAAAAAAUGAUACCAGGCAAGGCAAGGUAAAAAUUUUGUAAGAGGAAAUAUAAAGGUAAAAUCUAAAGUAGUCAAAAACGGCCAAUAGUGACUCACAGACUCCACAGACAAGUCCCUUUGGCGCCACUCAGUGGGCAAAACUACUUUGUCUACUGUAAUGUAUAUUUGGGUCAUCUUUGGCGCCCCCUAAAACGUAAACCGUGGGGUGCAGCGUCAUGAUUUUUACAACUUUGAAUGGCCAUGGAGUGUAGAUUGGCCUGAGCAAAUUUGGUGUCAGUGGGACAAAGGCCUUAGGAGGAGUUAGCGAAAUUCCAAUGUGUGCGAAUUGGCAAAAAAUGCAAAAUAGCCCUUUUACCAUACAUUAUACAGAUACGCGCUUUUUGACUUUUUCGUAGAUCUAAUUGAGAUACACAUGAUUGUCAAUUUUUGUGUCAUUUUGCCAAAGCGUACAGGCGUGACAGUCAACAAUGUGUAUUUUCACCUUAGGGGACAAGAAAAAAUGGACUUUUUUCUCCUGCCAUGGGGGGGCGCUCUUUUAGGGAGUAAAAAUUCCUUCACAAAUGUGUUGAUGGCUGGACAUUGCAUCAUCCUAGAAAACUUGGAGGCCAGUGAGGACAAAAAUAAAAAGUUAAAAGACUUUUAAAAAUGUGGAUUUUUGGGUUAUCUUUGGCGCCCCCUAGAACGUAAACCGUGGGGUGCAGCGUCAUGAUUUGAAUAACUUUUAAUGGCCAUGGGGUGUAAUUUGGCCUGAGCAAAUGUGGUGCCGGUGGAACGAAAGCCUUCGGAGGAGUUAGCGAAAUUCCAAUGUGUGGGAAUCGGCAAAAAAUGCGGAAUAACCCUUUAACCGUACAUUAGACAGAUACGUGCGCAUGGACUUUUUUGUAGAUCUUCUUGAGAUACAUGUGUGUGUCAAUUUUUGUGUCAUUUUGCCAAAGCGUACAGGCGUAACACUCAACAAUGUGUAUUUUCACCUUAGGGGACAAGAAAAAAUGGACUUUUUUCUCCUGCCAUGGGGGGGCGCUCUUUUGGGGAGUAAAAAUUCAUUCACAAAUGUGUUGAUGGCUGGACAUUGCAUCAUCCUAGAAAACUUGGAGGCCAGUGAGGGCAAAAAUAAAAAGUUAUAAGACUUUUAAAAAUGUGGAUUUUAGGGUUAUCUUUGGCGCCCCCUAGAACCUAAACCGUGGGGUGCAUCGUCAUGAUUUGAAUAACUUUUAAUGGCCAUGGGGUGUAGAUUGGCCUGAGCAAAUGUGGUGCCGGUGGAACGAAAGCCUUCUGAGGAGUUAGCGAAAUUCCAAUGUGUGCGGAUCGGCAAAAAAUGCGAAAUAACCCUUUAACCGUACAUUUGACAGAUACGCCCGCACUGACUUUUUUGUAGAUCUUAUUGAGAUACAUGUGUGUGUCAAUUUUUGUGUCAUUUUGACAAAGCGUACAGGCGUGACAGUCAAUAGUGUGAAUUUUCACCUUAGGGGGCGCUAUGGAGCCAUUUUGCAUUUUCUUGUUUGGGCGACUUCGGAAUAUCAAAUUUUUCACCAGGCCCGGUUGUCCUGCCAAAUUUCAUGAGUUUUCGCCAGUGGGAAGUGGGCCAUUUUCCAGUUCAAAGGGGAGGAAAAAGAAAAAAGAAACAAAGAAAAACCACUUGGGGAAUAAUAGGGCUCUCGCAGCUGCUUAGCAGCUACGCUCGGGCCCUAACUAGGACCCCGUUGGGGCACUGGCGGGCCCGAGCCGUGUCGCGUCCCCCCCCCCCCCAACGUGCUGCCUCCCCGUCCCAUUUGUGUCCUCUGGCCAUCGCCCUCUCUGGUAACGCCCAUCACUGCAAAGACCCUUUUCCUUCAUCGGCGUUUGCUGUUCUUCCUGCCAGUGCGUGUUGCUUUCACUUACACUUGCCACAGCCAGCCUCGUGAGUGCCUAGCCUAUUGGAUAUCACUGUCACCUACACAGGACAGUCAUUUCCUUUCUAUUAAUACUUUGUGUUUUAAUUUCACAUUAAUUUCCAUAUUGUAUAAACGACUGGAAAAAACUUGAGCCCCUGCCCCUGUAUAAUCAUGUGCACGUCUCUGUUCUAGCUCCAAGGUGAAUCUUCACUGCUCAUGUUCUCCUCAGAAGCACUCACCUCACUCCCCUCAGGUUACUGUACACAUGCACCAACUGCCUGCUUCAGGUUUGGAUGGAGCUUCAUGGUUGUCUUUUGGAGAAAUGACCAGUCAAGUUGUGUUUGAAAUUUGAUUUUUUUUCAGGGGCAAAAGGAGCCUCUGCAUUCUUGUCAAAUAUGUAAAUAGCAUGUUUUUGCAGGUGCUAAAAACCAGACUCUGAGUGUGUGUGUGUGUGUGUGUGUGUGUGUGUGUGUGUGUGUGUGUGUGCGUGUGUGUGUGUCUGUGUGUGCGUUCAAGUCACAUGACAUAUUUAACCGGAUGUAGCUGCAAGACGGAGCCUCGUUGACUCUCCGUUUCAACUUAUCUCAAAAGUGAGGACCUCAACCUAUAUACCAGUUUUUAAAUUGUGUUGAUAGGCCAAAUAAAACCAGAGUUAUGAUAAAUUAUGUCCGCGAUACUUUUUUUCUGCUUAUUUUGAUCACGUUCGGCGCUCGAUCGCGCUGUAUGAGACAGGAAAACAUAGCAUGCAGACAUUAGCGACAGGUCUUACAGGCGGAAAAGGCUUGCCAAAAGAAAAAAAAACACACCACAACAUCUCUCCUAUUGGUGGAAAACUUCACCACAACAACCAAUCCAAAAUUAUAUGGUGACUGAUUGACAAGGGGCGGGCGCUUACGUUCUUCCUGCAACAUGAGAAGGGAGGGAGGGACUCUCAGCAGGGAUGCAGUCUGGGACACGUAGUUGCAAACCUAGCGACUUUGUUGUUAGAUUCAAUGACUUUUCAGACCCCCAACGACUUUUUUUUAGAAAGAAAGUGACUUUUAUCGACUUCUUCUGGAGUUUAGAGACUCUGACAUGAAGCAGGCUUUCCUUACUGAGGAGUUAGCAACGCUGCUAAGGGUGCAGAGCCACACAUGCGCUCAGAGCUCUGCAUGGGAGACUGAAGCUGACAGAGCUGCAGCAGUUAGCAGGUUUCACCCUCAGAGACCACCAGGGGUUCAUGUUGAGGCAUUUUAAAUUUUUUUUUUUUUGUGCCAUAGACACUGUCAGCACAAUCUGCAGUUACACUAACAAAAAUGCUGCAAAAAACAAAGAAUUAUGGAAAAAUUACACAUGGACUGACAUAGAGGAGGAUCUACACAAGUUUUUUACAUCAUGUUUUACAUCAUGCAUCAUUUACAUCAUGUUUUUUUGUAGUGGCAUAAAUAAAAAGUGACAUUUGUGAGACUAUACAGUGUUUUGUAAAUAAUUUUACAAAGAACGCCUGGGCCAUUGCCUGCAUUUUGAUGUAAAUAGAGGUAAAUCACUAUGUUCUUUGUUAAAAAUUUGCAUAUGUUUUGAAGUUUACAAUUUUUAUUUGAAGUUUAAGUUUUAAAAACAGUUCAUCACACAUAUUUGUGGUUUUCACAGUAAAAAUGUUACUUUUUUCCACUCGGAUUUUAUGUUUUGUGUGUGAAUUUGGGUCCAUUGUGUAAAUUCAGUAUGUCAACAUGAUAAAAUAACUGUAAAUUCGCACAGGUGAGGUUGUGCUGAAAAAAAUGAUACCAGGCAAGGCACGUGAUUGUCACAUUGUUUAGCAAAAUUUCCCCAAUCCAAAAUUAUAUGGUGACUGAUUGACAAGGGGCGGGCGCUUACGUUCUUCCUGCAACAUGAGAAGGGAGGGAGGGACUCUCAGCAGGGAUGCAGUCUGGGACACGUAGUUGCAAACCUAGCGACUUUGUUGUUAGAUUCAAUGACUUUUCAGACCCCCUAACGACUUUUUUUUAGAAAGAAAGGGACUUUUAUCGACUUCUUCUGGAGUUUAGAGACUCUGACAUGAAGCAGGCUUUCCUUACUGAGGAGUUAGCAACGCUGCUAAGGGUGCAGAGCCACACAUGCGCUCAGAGCUCUGCAUGGGAGACUGAAGCUGACAGAGCUGCAGCAGUUAGCAGGUUUCACCCUCAGAGACCACCAGGGGUUCAUGUUGAGGCAUUUUAAUUUUUUUUUUUUUUUGUGCCAUAGACACUGUCAGCACAAUCUGCAGUUACACUAACAAAAAUGCUGCAAAAACAAAGAAUUAUGGAAAAAUUACACAUGGACUGACAUAGAGGAGGAUCUACACAAGUUUUUUACAUCAUGUUUUACAUCAUGCAUCAUUUACAUCAUGUUUUUUUGUAGUGGCAUAAAUAAAAAGUGACAUUUGUGAGACUAUACAGUGUUUUGUAAAUAAUUUUACAAAGAACGCCUGGGCCAUUGCCUGCAUUUUGAUGUAAAUAGAGGUAAAUUACUAUGUUCUUUGUUAAAAAUUUGCAUAUGUUUUGAAGUUUACAAUUUUUAUUUGAAGUUUAAGUUUUAAAAACAGUUCAUCACACAUAUUUGUGGUUUAAUUUCACAUUAAUUUCCAUAUUGUAUAAAUGACUGGAAAAAACUUGAGCCCCUGCCCCUGUAUAAUCAUGUGCACGUCCCUGUUCUAGCUCCAAGGUGAAUCUUCACUGCUCAUGUUCUCCUCAGAAAUAGUCACCUCACUCCCCUCAGGUUACUGUACACAUGCACCAACUAUCUGCUUCAGGUUUGAAAUGGAGCUUCAUGGUUGUCUUUUGGAGAAAUGAAACGUCAAGUUGUGUUUGAAAUUUGAUUUUUUUCAGGGGCAAAAGGAAGCCUCUGCAUUCUUGUCAAAUAUGUAAACAGCAUGUUUUUGCAGGUGCUAAAAAACAGACUCUGAGUGUGGGUGUGUGUCUGUGUGUGUGUGUGUGUGUGUGUGUGUGUGUGUGUGUGUGUGUGUGUGUGUGUAUGUUGGCGUGUGUGUAUAUGUGUGUGUAUCCUGCAGUACUCUGUACUCCUGCAGUGGCCAAAAAGACUUUUAAGAAUGUGGAUUUUUGGGUCAUCUUUGGCGCCCCCUAGAACUGCAGUACUCUGUACUCCUGCAGUGGCCAAAAUGACUUUUAAGAAUGUGGAUUUUUGGGUCAUCUUUGGCGCCCCCUAGAACGUAAACCGUGGGGUGCAGCGUCAUGAUUUUUACAACUUUGAAUGGGCAUGGGGUGUAGAUUGCCCUGAGCAAAUUUGGUAUCGGUGGGACGAAAGCCUUAGGAGGAGAUAGCCACAUUCCAAUGUGUGCGAAUCGGCAAAAAAUGCAAAAUAGCCCUUUAACCGUACAUUAUACAGAUACGCGCUCUUUGACUUUUUCGUAGAUCUAAUUGAGAUACACAUGAUUGUCAAUUUUUGUGUCAAUAUGACAAAGCGUUCAGGCGUGACACUCAACAAUGUGUAUUUUUAUGUAAGGGGACAAGAAAAAAUUGACUUUUUUCUCCUACCAUGGGGGGGCGCUCUUUUGGGGAGUAAAAAUUCCUUCACAAAUGUGUUGAUGGCUGGACAUUGCAUCAUCCUAGAAAACUUGGAGGCCAGUGAGGACAAAAAUAAAAAGUUAUAAAACAUUUAAGAAUGUGGAUUUUUGGGUUAUUUUUUGCGCCCCCUAGAACCUAAACCAUGGGGUGCAGCAUCAUGAUUUGAAUAACUUUUAAUGGCCAUGGGGUGUAGAUUGGCCUGAGCAAAUGUGGUGCCGGUGGAACGAAAGCCUUCGGAGGAGUUAGCGAAAUUCCAAUGUGUGCGUAUCGGCAAAAAAUGCGGAAUAACCCUUUAACUGUACAUUUGACAGAUACGCGCGCUGGACUUUUUUGUAGAUCUUAUUGAGUUACAUGUGUGUGUCAAUUUUUGUGUCAUUUUGACAAAGCGUAUAGGCUUGACACUCAACAAUGUGUAUUUUCACCUUAGGGGACAAGAAAAAAUGGACUUUUUUCUCCUGCCAUGGGGGGGCGCUCUUUUGGGGAGUAAAAAUUCCUUCACAAAUGUGUUGAUGGCUGGACAUUGCAUCAUCCUAGAAAACUUGAAGGCCAGUGAGGACAAAAAUAAAAAGUUAUAAGACUUUUAAAUAUGUGGAUUUUAGUGUUAUCUUUGGCGCCCCCUAGAACCUAAACCUUGGGGUGCAGCGUCAUGAUUUUGAUAACUUUUAAUGGCCACGGGGUGUAGAUUGGCCUGAGCAAAUGUGGUGCCGGUGGAACGAAAGCCUUCGGAGGAGUUAGCGAAAUUCCAAUGUGUGCGGAUCGGCAAAAAAUGCGAAAUAACCCUUUAACCGUAAUUUUGACAGAUACGGCCGCACUGACUUUUUUGUAGAUCUUAUUGAGAUACAUAUGUGUGUCAAUUUUUGUGUCAAUAUGACAAAGCGUACAGGCGUGACAGUCAAUAGUGUGAAUUUCCACCUUAGGGGGCGCUAUGGAGCCAUUUUGCAUUUUCUUGUUUGGGCGACUUCAGAAUAUCGAAUUUUUCACCAGGCCCGGUCGUCCUGCCAAAUUUCAUGAGUUUUCGCCAGUGGGAAGUGGGCCAUUUUCCAGUUCAAAGGGGAGGAAAAAGAAGAAAGAAAGAAAGAAAGAAAGAAAGAAACAAAGAAAAACCACUUGGGGAAUAAUAGGGCCUACGCCCGGCUGCUCUGCAGCUGGCUCGGGCCCUAAUAACAAAAGAAGGAAACAUGCAGGAACAAGAGGGCUCUCGCAGCUGCUUAGCAGCUACGCUCGGGCCCUAAAGAAAGAAAGAACUAGGGCCCCGGUGGGGCACUGUCGGGCCCGAGCCGCGUCGCACCGCCCCCAGCGCGACCGCCUCCACCUCCCGAUCGCGUCACACUCAAGGUCCAAAGAUGGUGUGCGCACUUGUCUGUGGUCAUUUCCCAUUAUAAUGAAUGGGAGGCGCAGUUUCUACCAAAACACUCGCUGCAGACAAACUACAUGUCCUAUUUGAAAAAAGUCUGGACCAUGAGUGAGGGCACAAACACAGCUAGGAUAUAUCCAAACGGCAAGUUGCUCCUCGUUACGGUGUUGCCGGGAGAGCGAUGCGAUUGAGCCAUUGAGUGAUGGGCAGGAAAAACUUGACUGUUUCUCCUGCCAUGGGGGGUGGGGGAUGGGGGGGGAUGUGGAUUCUUUUAAGAAUGUGGAUAUUUGGGUCAUCUUUGGCGCCCCCUAGAACGUAAACCGUGGGGUGCAGCGUCAUGAUUUUUACAACUUUGAAUGGCCAUGGGGUGUAGAUUGGCCUGAGCAAAUUUGGUGUCAGUGGGACGAAAGCCUUAGGAGAAGUUAGCCACAUUCCAAUGUGUGCGAAUCGGCAAAAAAUGCAAAAUAGCCCUUUAACCGUACAUUUGACAGAUACGCGCGCAUUGACUUUUUUGUAGAUCUUAUUGAGAUACAUAUGUGUGUCAAUUUUUGUGUCAAUAUGAUAAAGCGUACAGGCGUGACAGUUAAUAGUGUGAAUUUCCACCUUAGGGGACAAGAAAAAAUUGACUUUUUUCUCCUGCCAUGGGGGGGCGCUCUUUUGGGGAGUAAAAAUUCCUUCACAAAUGUGUUGAUGGCUGGACAUUGCAUCAUCCUAGAAAACUUGGAGGCCAGUGAGGACAAAAAUAAAAAGUUAUAAGACUUUUAAAUAUGUGGAUUUUAGGGUUAUCUUUGGCGCCCCCUAGAACCUAAACCGUGGGGUGCAGCGUCAUGAUUUGAAUAACUUUUAAUGGCCAUGGGGUGUAGAUUGGCCUGAGCAAAUGUGGUGCCGGUGGAACGAAAGCCUUCGGAGGAGUUAGCGAAAUUCCAAUGUGUGCGGAUCGGCAAAAAAUGCGGAAUAACCCUUUAACCGUACAUUUGACAGAUACGCGCGCAUUGACUUUUUCGUAGAUCUUAUUGAGAUACAUAUGUGUGUCAAUUUUUGUGUCAUUUUGCCAAAGCGUACAGGUGUUACACUCAACAAUGUGUAUUUUCACCUUAGGGGACAAGAAAAAAUGGACUUUUUUCUCCUGCCAUGGGGGGGCGCUCUUUUGGGGAGUAAAAAUUCCUUCACAAAUGUGUUGAUGGCUGGACAUUGCAUCAUCCUAGAAAACUUGGAGGCCAGUGAGGGCAAAAAUAAAAAGUUAUAAGACUUUUAAAUAUGUGGAUCUUAGGGUUAUCUUUGGCGCCCCCUAGAACCUAAACCGUGGGGUGCAGCGUCAUGAUUUGAAUAACUUUUAAUGGCCAUGGGGUGUAGAUUGGCCUGAGAAAAUGUGGUGCCGGUGGAACGAAAGCCUUCGGAGGAGUUAGCGAAAUUCCAAUGUGUGCGAAUCUGCAAAAAAUGCGAAAUAACCCUUUAACCGUACAUUUUACAGAUACGUGGCCAUUGACUUUUUCGAAGAUCUUAUUGAAAGACACGUGUAUGUAAAAUUUUGUGUCAAUACGACAAAACAUACAGGCGUAGCACUCAACAAUGUGUAUUUUCACCUUAGUGGACAAGAAAAAAUGGACUUUUUUCUCCUGCCAUGGGGGGGCGCUCUUUUGGCGAGUAAAAAUUCCUUCACAAAUGUGUUGAUGGCUGGACAUUGCAUCAUCCUAGAAAACUUGGAGGCCAGUGGGGACAAAAAUAAAAAGUUAUAAGACUUUUAAAUAUGUGGAUUUUACGGUUAUCUUUGGCGCCCCCUAGAACCUAAACCGUGGGGUGCAGCGUCAUGAUUUGAAUAACUUUUAAUGGCCAUGGGGUGUAGAUUGGCCUGAGAAAAUGUGGUGCCGGUGGAACGAAAGCCUUCGGAGGAGUUAGCGAAAUUCCAAUGUGUGCGGAUCGGCAAAAAAUGCGGAAUAACCCUUUAACCGUACAUUUGACAGAUACGUGCGCAUUGACUUUUUUGUAGAUCUUAUUGAGAUACAUGUGUGUCUCAAUUUUGGUGUCAUUUUGCCAAAGCGUACAGGUGUUACACUCAACAAUGUGUAUUUUCACCUUAGGGGACAAGAAAAAAUGGACUUUUUUCUCCUGCCAUGGGGGGGCGCUCUUUUGGGGAGUAAAAAUUCCUUCACAAAUGUGUUGAUGGCUGGACAUUGCAUCAUCCUAGAAAACUUGGAGGCCAGUGAGGGCAAAAAUAAAAAGUUAUAAGACUUUUAAAUAUGUGGAUCUUAGGGUUAUCUUUGGCGCCCCCUAGAACCUAAACCGUGGGAUGCAGCGUCAUGAUUUGAAUAACUUUUAAUGGCCAUGGGGUGUAGAUUGGCCUGAGCAAAUGUGGUGCCGGUGGAACGAAAGCCUUCGGAGGAGUUAGCGAAAUUCCAAUGUGUGCGGAUCGGCAAAAAAUGCGAAAUAACCCUUUAACCGUACAUUUGACAGAUACGGCCGCACUGACUUUUCUGUAGAUCUUAUUGAGAUACAUGUGUGUGUCAAUUUUUGUGUCAUUUUGACAAAGCGUACAGGCGUGACAGUCAAUAGUGUGAAUUUUCACCUUAGGGGGCGCUAUGGAGCCAUUUUGCAUUUUCUUGUUUGGGCGACUUCGGAAUAUCAAAUUUUUCACCAGGCCCGGUCGUCCUGCCAAAUUUCAUGAGUUUUCGCCAGUGGGAAGUGGGCCAUUUUCCAGUUCAAAGGGGAGGAAAAAUAAUAAUAAUAACAAAAGAAGGAAACAUGCAGGAACAAGAGGGCUCUCGCAGCUGCUUAGCAGCUACGCUCGGGCCCUAAUAAUAACAAAAGAAGGAAACUACAGGAACAAGAGGGCUCUCGCAGCUGCUUAGCAGCUACGCUCGGGCCCUAAAGAAGGAAACUACAGGAACAAGAGGGCUCUCGCAGCUGCUUAGCAGCUACGCUCGGGCCCUAAAGAAAGAAAGAAACAACUAGGACCCCGUUGGGGCACUGGCGGGCCCGAGCCGUGUCGGCCCCCCCCCCCCCCCAACGUGCUGCCUCCCCGUCCCAUUUGUGUCCUCUGGCCAUCGCCCUCUCUUGUAACGCCCAUCACUGCAAAGACCCUUUUCCUUCAUCGGCGUUUGCUGUUCUUCCUGCCAGUGCGUGUUGCUUUCACUUACACUUGCCACAGCCAGCCUCGUGAGUGCCUAGCCUAUUCGAUAUCCCUGUCACCUACACAGGACAGUCAUUACCUUUCUAUUAAUACUUUGUGUUUUAAUUUCACAUUAAUUUCCAUAUUGUAUAAACGACUGGAAAAAACUUGAGCCCCUGCCCCUGUAUAAUCAUGUGCAUGUCUCUGUUCUAGCUCCAAGGUGAAUCUUCACUGCUCAUGUUCUCCUCAGAAGCACUCACCUCACUCCCCUCAGGUUACUGUACACAUGCACCAACUGCCUGCUUCAGGUUUGGAUGGAGCUUCAUGGUUGUCUUUUGGAGAAAUGACCAGUCAAGUUGUGUUUGAAAUUUGAUUUUUUUUUCAGGGGCAAAAGGAGCCUCUGCAUUCUUGUCAAAUAUGUAAAUAGCAUGUUUUUGCAGGUGCUAAAAACCAGACUCUGAGUGUGUGUGUGUGUGUGUGUGUGUGUGUGUGUGUGUGUGUGCGUGUGUGUGUGUGUCUGUGUGUGCGUUCAAGUCACAUGACAUAUUUAACCGGAUGUAGCUGCAAGACGGAGCCUCGUUGACUCUCCGUUUCAACUUAUCUCAAAAGUGAGGACCUCAACCUAUAUACCAGUUUUUAAAUUGUGUUGAUAGGCCAAAUAAAACCAGAGUUAUGAUAAAUUAUGUCCGCGAUACUUUUUUUCUGCUUAUUUUGAUCACGUUCGGCGCUCGAUCGCGCUGUAUGAGACAGGAAAACAUAGCAUGCAGACAUUAGCGACAGGUCUUACAGGCGGAAAAGGCUUGCCAAAAAAAAAAAAAAACACACCACAACAUCUCUCCUAUUGGUGGAAAACUUCACCACAACAACCAAUCCAAAAUUAUAUGGUGACUGAUUGACAAGGGGAGGGUGCUUACGUUCUUCCUGCAACAUGAGAAGGGAGGGAGGGACUCUCAGCAGGGAUGCAGUCUGGGACACGUAGUUGCAAACCUAGCGACUUUGUUGUUAGAUUCAAUGACUUUUCAGACCCCCUAACGACUUUUUUUAGAAAGAAAGGGACUUUUAUCGACUUCUUCUGGAGUUUAGAGACUCUGACAUGAAGCAGGCUUUCCUUACUGAGGAGUUAGCAACGCUGCUAAGGGUGCAGAGCCACACAUGCGCUCAGAGCUCUGCAUGGGAGACUGAAGCUGACAGAGCUGCAGCAGUUAGCAGGUUUCACCCUCAGAGACCACCAGGGGUUCAUGUUGAGGCAUUUUAAUUUUUUUUUUUUUGUGCCAUAGACACUGUCAGCACAAUCUGCAGUUACACUAACAAAAAUGCUGCAAAAAACAAAGAAUUAUGGAAAAAUUACACAUGGACUGACAUAGAGGAGGAUCUACACAAGUUUUUUACAUCAUGUUUUACAUCAUGCAUCAUUUACAUCAUGUUUUUUUGUAGUGGCAUAAAUAAAAAGUGACAUUUGUGAGACUAUACAGUGUUUUGUAAAUAAUUUUACAAAGAACGCCUGGGCCAUUGCCUGCAUUUUGAUGUAAAUAGAGGUAAAUUACUAUGUUCUUUGUUAAAAAUUUGCAUAUGUUUUGAAGUUUACAAUUUUUAUUUGAAGUUUAAGUUUUAAAAACAGUUCAUCACACAUAUUUGUGGUUUAAUUUCACAUUAAUUUCCAUAUUGUAUAAAUGACUGGAAAAAACUUGAGCCCCUGCCCCUGUAUAAUCAUGUGCACGUCCCUGUUCUAGCUCCAAGGUGAAUCUUCACUGCUCAUGUUCUCCUCAGAAAUAGUCACCUCACUCCCCUCAGGUUACUGUACACAUGCACCAACUAUCUGCUUCAGGUUUGAAAUGGAGCUUCAUGGUUGUCUUUUGGAGAAAUGAACAGUCAAGUUGUGUUUGAAAUUUGAUUUUUUUCAGGGGCAAAAGGAAGCCUCUGCAUUCUUGUCAAAUAUGUAAACAGCAUGUUUUUGCAGGUGCUAAAAAACAGACUCUGAGUGUGUGUGUGUGUCUGUGUGUGUGUGUGUGUGUGUGUGUGUGAGUGUGUGUGUAUGUUGGCGUGUGUGUAUAUGUGUGUGUAUCCUGCAGUACUCUGUACUCCUGCAGUGGCCAAAAAGACUUUUAAGAAUGUGGAUUUUUGGGUCAUCUUUGGCGCCCCCUAGAACUGCAGUACUCUGUACUCCUGCAGUGGCCAAAAUGACUUUUAAGAAUGUGGAUUUUUGGGUCAUCUUUGGCGCCCCCUAGAACGUAAACCGUGGGGUGCAGCGUCAUGAUUUUUACAACUUUGAAUGGGCAUGGGGUGUAGAUUGCCCUGAGCAAAUUUGGUAUCGGUGGGACGAAAGCCUUAGGAGGAGAUAGCCACAUUCCAAUGUGUGCGAAUCGGCAAAAAAUGCAAAAUAGCCCUUUAACCGUACAUUAUACAGAUACGCGCUCUUUGACUUUUUCGUAGAUCUAAUUGAGAUACACAUGAUUGUCAAUUUUUGUGUCAAUAUGACAAAGCGUUCAGGCGUGACACUCAACAAUGUGUAUUUUUAUGUAAGGGGACAAGAAAAAAUUGACUUUUUUCUCCUACCAUGGGGGGGCGCUCUUUUGGGGAGUAAAAAUUCCUUCACAAAUGUGUUGAUGGCUGGACAUUGCAUCAUCCUAGAAAACUUGGAGGCCAGUGAGGACAAAAAUAAAAAGUUAUAAAACAUUUAAGAAUGUGGAUUUUUGGGUUAUUUUUGGCGCCCCCUAGAACCUAAACCAUGGGGUGCAGCAUCAUGAUUUGAAUAACUUUUAAUGGCCAUGGGGUGUAGAUUGGCCUGAGCAAAUGUGGUGCCGGUGGAACGAAAGCCUUCGGAGGAGUUAGCCACAUUCCAAUGUGUGCGUAUCGGCAAAAAAUGCGGAAUAACCCUUUAACUGUACAUUUGACAGAUACGCGCGCAUGGACUUUUUUGUAGAUCUUAUUGAGUUACAUGUGUGUGUCAAUUUUUGUGUCAUUUUGACAAAGCGUAUAGGCGUGACACUCAACAAUGUGUAUUUUCACCUUAGGGGACAAGAAAAAAUGGACUUUUUUCUCCUGCCAUGGGGGGCGCUCUUUUGGGGAGUAAAAAUUCCUUCACAAAUGUGUUGAUGGCUGGACAUUGCAUCAUCCUAGAAAACUUGGAGGCCAGUGAGGACAAAAAUAAAAAGUUAUAAGACUUUUAAAUAUGUAGAUUUUAGUGUUAUCUUUGGCGCCCCCUAGAACCUAAACCUUGGGGUGCAGCGUCAUGAUUUUGAUAACUUUUAAUGGCCACGGGGUGUAGAUUGGCCUGAGCAAAUGUGGUGCCGGUGGAACGAAAGCCUUCGGAGGAGUUAGCGAAAUUCCAAUGUGUGCGGAUCGGCAAAAAAUGCGAAAUAACCCUUUAACCGUAAUUUUGACAGAUACGGCCGCACUGACUUUUUUGUAGAUCUUAUUGAGAUACAUAUGUGUGUCAAUUUUUGUGUCAAUAUGACAAAGCGUACAGGCGUGACAGUCAAUAGUGUGAAUUUCCACCUUAGGGGGCGCUAUGGAGCCAUUUUGCAUUUUAUUGUUUGGGCGACUUCAGAAUAUCGAAUUUUUCACCAGGCCCGGUCGUCCUGCCAAAUUUCAUGAGUUUUCGCCAGUGGGAAGUGGGCCAUUUUCCAGUUCAAAGGGGAGGAAAAAGAAGAAAGAAAGAAAGAACUAGGGCCCCGUUGGGGCACUGGCGGGCCCGAGCCAUGUCGCACCCCCCCCCCCCAACGCGCUGCCUCCCCGUCCCAUUCGUGUCCUCUGGCCAUCGCCCUCUCUGGUAACGCCCAUCACUGCAAAGACCCUUUUCCUUCAUCGGCGUUUGCUGUUCUUCCUGCCAGUGCAUGUUGCUUUCACUUACACUUGCCACAGCCAGCCUCGUGAGUGCCUAGCCUAUUGGAUAUCACUGUCACCUACACAGGACAGUCAUACUUUGUUUUUUAAUUUCACAUUAAUUUCCAUAUUGUAUAAACGACUGGAAAAAACUUGAGCCCCUGCCCCUGUAUUAUCAUGUGCACGUCCCUGUUCUAGCUCCAAGGUGAAUCUUCACUGCUCAUGUUCUCCUCAGAAGCAGUCACCUCACUCCCCUCAGGUUACUGUACACAUGCACCAACUGCCUGCUUCAGGUUUGGAUGGAGCUUCAUGGUUGUCUUUUGGAGAAAUGAGCAGUCAAGUUGUGUUUGAAAUUUGAUUUUUUUCAGGGGCAAAAGGAAGCCUCUGCAUUCUUGUCAAAUAUGUAAAUAGCAUGUUUUUGCAGGUGCUAAAAAACAGACUCUGAGUGUGUGUGUGUGUGUGCGUGUGUGUGUGUGUGUCUGUGUGUGUGUGUGUGUGUGUAUCCUGCAGUACUCUGAGAAGAAUAAUAAGCAUAUUUCUGAGGUGAAUUUUGAAGAUUCAUCUGAGAGUUAGGUUUGAUUUGAUUCGAUUGACGCUCCCCAGCGUUCAAGUCACAUGACAUAUUUAACCGGAUGUAGCUGCAAGACGGAGCCUCGUUAACUCUCCGUUUCAACUUAUCUCAAAAGUGAGGACCUCAACCUAUAUACCAGUUUUUAAAUUGUGUUGAUAGGCCAAAUAAAACCAGAGUUAUGAUAAAUUAUGUCCGCGAUACUUUUUUUCUGCUUAUUUUGAUCACGUUCGGCGCUCGAUCGCGCUGUAUGAGACAGGAAAACAUAGCAUGCACACAUUAGCGACAGGUCUUACAGGCGGAAAAGGCUUGCCAAAAGAAAAAAGAAACACA